CGACAAUGUAAAGAUAGGUGAAAUUAACACAGGCAGCGAUUCUGAUUUUGAAUGAGUCAAUGAUAGUGUGAGAGUGAUGAACACAUUCACAUAUACUAAAGCAUUUGCUGCUCCUCAGGGUGAAGCAGGCAAACCUGGUGUUCCUGGAAGAGAUGGGGUGCCUGGCAAGGAAGGAAUACCUGGAUUACCAGGAAAGCAGGUUUGAGUUUGUCAUAUUGCUCACCUGUGGCAGCACUAUUAAGUUUUUUUUUUCUCUCAGUGUUAACGUUGUGUAAUUUGUUCCUCAGGGCAUUGCAGGACCUCCAGGCCUGGCUGGCUUGAAGGGGGAGCAGGGAGACAGCGGGCCUCCAGGGAAGGCUGUGGCUGGACCUCCUGGACCCAAAGGAGAGAGGGUGAGUCACUCCUAUUGCCAUUAAUGUGGAAGUAGCUGCAGCAUGAAGUGACGCAAUAGAGCAGCAUUUAUGAAUGCAGCUUACAGCACUUUCCUGGUUCUGAUUGAUGCAGGGUCCUCCUGGUUUAAUGCUGCCAGGCACAGCUGGAGAGAGAGGCCCAACUGGUGAAAAGGGUAACAAGGGAGACAAAGGUGUUGCUGGCAUCAAAGGAGAAAGAGUGAGUACGAUAAUGGGACAAAAUAAUAACCUACUUACAUAUACAAAUAUGAAGGUACAUUCACAAUGUGCUGUCUGUUGUCAUACAAGGGACAAGCUGGUGAAUCAGGAGAACCUGGAGAAGAUGUGAGUAAUCAACUUCCACUGCCCAACUGGAUUUCAAAAAGUGAUUCUAGAUUUUUUAAUGAAGUCUUAGUCAUGGUGUUUAUGCUUUUAUGGAAGAUUUGCAAUGCUGAUUUCAAUAGUAGUGUGUAAUUUUGUGUAAUUUCACAUAAACAAAUCCAGUGAUCCAUUAUAGUCGAUGGUAUUAAAGUGACUGUUUUUAUUUUUUGAGAAAAUUCAUCAAAUUUUGAACAGUUUGAUUUUUUUAAAUGUCUUCUAUGCCUUGGUAAAUAUUAGUGCAAAAUAAUAAAAUGUAUAUUAUAUGUAUAUGUGUAUGUAAUAAGAGGAGAAAAAGUAUUCAGUGCCACCUCAUGCAUAUGUGAAAUCCAUUUUAACAACUUGAUAGCUGAUUUACUCCAAAGUCAAGUUAUAUAAUCAUGCCUGAAUCGGUUAUUUUUCUAAAGCAUAUAAGAAAGCCACGGCCCAGUUUGAAAUCUGUAUACCCCAUCUCCAUCAGCAGCUUUUUUCUAGCCAUCACAUCCCCUUUACCCAGUGACAUGAUAUAAGAUAUUUUAUGGAAUAAAAAUAGGUCACAUAAUUGAGCAUAACAUAUAAUUUGAAAUUUGAUGAAUUCCAAUUUCUAUUUAUGAGAUAUGAUCAACUUUGUAAUAAUUUGGUUUUAGAUCUUUAGGGUAAUUUCAAACUAAAUUACAACAUUGAAAAAGAAAACUAGUUAUUUAAUGUAAAUGACCUCUUGUGCUACACCUUUAUGGCUCACUAGAACCCACACUUUGGGGAAACACUGGUCUAUAGACAGUGUAUCUAAUGCUACAGUCACACUAGAGAAAAGCCAGGCUGGAGACAAUUGUUGCAACUUUAUGUAAAUGCGUUUGUAUUGUUGUUGGCUUUGAAAUUGUUCCUUCCGAGUUGGGGCCCAGGUCUGUGACCACGCAGAGUCAGCUGCUGUCUUUAAAGUGACUUUGGUGUAUCCAGACAGCAACGAAAGAGCAACAAGACGGAGUCGGUCUUCUACCAGUUUGUGAUUGAAUGGGGUCAAGUUAGCAAUUACACACCAUCUGUUUGUGAAAAUACAGUGAUUAACUGAGAUAAAUUGGUGGAAAUCUCAAAUCUGUUGCUACCUGUUGCUGCCUACAUACACAGGAAUUCACAUUACACAGAAAAUGACGUUAAUUACUAAGCAGAACCUCAUAGAGCUGAAACAGAAAAUAGUGACGUAGUUGUUCCACUAUGGCAAUUUAACUGUAAAAUGACAUAAGGCUUUUGCAACCUUACUUUUAUAUAGAAAUAUAACCAGAAUGCAACCAGUUGGAAACCAGAUGAGUUGUGUCUCAUAUUGCAAAGAGGAGUGUUACAGAUUUUUGAUGCAAACUGACUUGGAGUGAUUUCAGAUAUCUGGAUAUCUUGGGCAGCAGUUUUUUGCAUUCCUAUUCCAGUGUGUCUGAGAGUGAUUGAAGUCAGUCUCAGCUGGAUGUCAUUUAUUUGGAGAAAGGUUGCUUCCCACCACACGACCUGUGCAGCACCUUGCAAUUGAAUGGGGUCAGCCAACGGCUCUGAACCUCUGAGCAACAAGCUGGUUGCUGCAACUUCUUUCAAUCUGUCACCUGAAUCUUUCAUCUGAAUGCAAAAAAAAAAAUGUCAAAGCAAUCAGGGGCAAACACUGCUUUUUUCUAGUCACAAGGACAUUGAAAUUGCUAUUCCUGUUUUUACUGUCUUUGCCCAGACGUCUGUGAUGUUCAAGAUUUUAAUGAUUUGUUGGUUUUGAGGUUUUAAAAAAAACCACAUUAACGGUUCUCACAACAUGAAACUGGAACAUUUAUGACAUAUUUCAAGAUCUGCACAAUAAAUUUAUGAAACAGCAAUUAAUUCAUUAAUAUUUUUCUGUUUUACUUUGACUAAUUUUCUAUUGAUACAAAUAUGAAAAAGUAAAUAACACAAUCAAUAAUUCUUCUUUUUUCAUAACUUAAUUAAGGGGGCACAGGGAUCUCCCGGGCCAAAAGGCGAUAAGGUGAGCUUUCGUCAUUUGGUUUAUUGAUUUCCCUGCAGUCUAACCCAUCUGACAGUGACUGCAAUGAUAAAAUGUGUGUUGCAGGGAGAGAAAGGCAUAGGACUUGCAGGUCCUCCUGGUCGGAUUGGGCCUCCAGGUUUAAAAGUGAGUAAUAGCACACAUUGCAGCAAAAGAUGAUCUAUAUUUUUAUCUUUCCAGUCAGAUAGCGGGCUGUAUCAGGUGCACCUCACUUGAGGGUGAAAAAUGUCACUG
ensembl:lncRNA